CUAGCCGUAAACGAUGGAUACUAGGUGUUAGAGGUAUCGACCCCUCUAGUGCCGGAGCUAACGCAUUAAGUAUCCCGCCUGGGGAGUACGACCGCAAGGUUGAAACUCAAAGGAAUUGACGGGGGCCCGCACAAGCGGUGGAGCAUGUGGUUUAAUACGUCACUAACCGUAGAACCUUACCCAGGCUUGACAUCUGGUGUAAGUCCAUGAAAGUGGUACCCCGCUAUAGCAAUAUAGCGCACCAAGACAGGUGU
rnacentral:rRNA from 1 species